rnacentral:rRNA from 1 species
ACGUAGGGGGCAAGCGUUAUCCGGAUUUACUGGGUGUAAAGGGAGCGUAGACGGCGAUGCAAGUCUGAAGUGAAAGCCCCGGGCUCAACCUGGGUACUGCUUUGGAAACUGUAUGGCUAGAGUGCUGGAGAGGUAAGCGGAAUUCCUAGUGUAGCGGUGAAAUGCGUAGAUAUUAGGAGGAACACCAGUGGCGAAGGCGGCUUACUGGACAGUAACUGACGUUGAGGCUCGAAAGCGUGGGGAGCAAACAG